CUUCCCACCUCGGCCUCCCAGAGAACUAGGAUUAUAGGCAUGAGCCACCGUGCCUGGCCACUUUGCCCAUUUCUUAUUUGGGUUGUUUGACUCUCAUUUCUUUCUUAUUUAGUUGCAUAUAUGCUCUAGAUAUUUAGAGGAAUUUCUAAAACUCUGGAAGGCAGGAAUAUGUCUUAAUCCUUUUUGUAUUCUUUGGGACUUAACAUUGUGCUAACUUAUAUUUGUGGCAUUUACAAAAUUAAAGACUGUUUUUGGUUAACCUCAGCUAUGUACGAGAUUGCAAAGUGGCGCACACACAAAAUAGACAUAACACAGUAACUAGACUAAAAGUUGAUGUCCCGGAAAGGACUAGCUAUGCGUAGAAAUAUCUGGUCAGGAAAUGAAAUAGAUUUAGAGACAUUUUUAUUGAGAAAUUGGCACAUCCUUUUUUAUUAGAAAUUCAAGCAGGGACAAGGAAAAAAAAAAAAACUGAAAGCAAGCUGUGUUCAAGGACAGACUCACAGAUUGAUCUGCGCCAUGAGGAAGCUCCUGGAUGAAUGGACUGGAGCCCACUGGUCGGGCUUUAAUUCUCGGUUGUCAAGACAACUGUUCCAACAGACUGUGUCAGCAGAAUUCUUCAACAAUCCUCGCCCUCUGGCUGCUCACAAAGGUUUCUGUUUGACCGUUAACGUCUCCUUGCUCAAUAGACCAAGCUCUCACAUCGCUGCCUGACUAAGAGGCAAGUAACACGACUCCACUCGGAGGACAACCCUCCACUCUCUCAGACUCACCUUCCUGCUGUACGGAGCCCUGCUAAUCAUUGAAGAUGAUGUUCACGCUCUCAACACGGCAGACAACCCUGAGCAGCCACAGGCCAGGCCCACAGGAUCUGCUCCCUUGGCCUGAGAAGGAGAAAUCAACGUCUCUUGUCCAGGAAUUCUACAAAUGGAGUGUUUUGUACAGUCACUUUCUCAAUGCUCUGGCUGUGUUGGUAUUUUGGUUAGGCAUGUUUGUGUUGCCAUCCAAAGGAGAAUGUCCAUCUUCUAAAGUUGACAGAUGCCAAGCUGGCAACUCACCAUGCUAGGCAUGGGCAGGCACUCCUUGUGGAACAUGUGCCGGCAAUGGAAGACCACCAC